rnacentral:tRNA from 1 species
AUUUAGGUAGCUUAAAUUAAAGCACAUUUCUGAAGAAAAUGACAUGGAUUUUCCCCUAAAUA